rnacentral:rRNA from 1 species
UACGUAGGGGGCAAGCGUUGUCCGGAUUUAUUGGGCGUAAAGGGCGUGUAGGCGGCCCGGGAAGUGGGUUGGGAAAACUGGAGGCUCAACCUUGAGACGUCGACCCAAACCCCCUGGCUAGAGUCCGGAAGAGGAGAAUGGAAUUCCCGGUGUAGCGGUGAAAUGCGCAGAUAUCGGGAAGAACACCCGUGGCGAAGGCGGUUCUCUGGGACGGUACUGACGCUGAGACGCGAAAGCGUGGGGAGCGAACAGG